rnacentral:rRNA from 1 species
UACGUAGGGUGCAAGCGUUAAUCGGAAUUACUGGGCGUAAAGCGUGCGCAGGCGGUGAUGUAAGACAGAUGUGAAAUCCCCGGGCUCAACCUGGGAAUUGCAUUUGUGACUGCACGGCUAGAGUGUGUCAGAGGGGGGUAGAAUUCCACGUGUAGCAGUGAAAUGCGUAGAUAUGCGGAGGAACACCGAUGGCGAAGGCAAUCCCCUGGGCCUGCACUGACGCUCAUGCACGAAAGCGUGGGGAGCAAACAGG